UGAUAGCGUUGAAGCGUGAGGUUGCUGCUGGAGAUCAGCAGGUUUUCCGUGGAGCGAAUGUCAAGUUAGGAAACUGGCGACAA
rfam:Dorea sp. 42_8 Ley3_66761_scaffold_3919, whole genome shotgun sequence.